AAAGUCGUAACAAGGUUUCCGUAGGUGAACCUGCGGAAGGAUCAUUAAUGAAACUUCAAAGUCGGCCAAAGGUUGUUGCUGGUGAUUAUUCACAUGUGCACGCUUUUGGUCGCAUCCACACACACCUGUGCAUCUAUGACUCGAGGUUGUAAUGACUGAGAGUAACUUUUACACACUCUUGUAUGUAAUGGAAUGUCUUUUUGUGCUAUAAUGUACAAUGUAAACAACUUUCAACAACGGAUCUCUUGGCUCUC
rnacentral:misc_RNA from 1 species